GAUGAACGCUGGCGGCGUGCCUAAUACAUGCAAGUCGAGCGAACGGACGAGAAGCUUGCUUCUCUGAUGUUAGCGGCGGACGGGUGAGUAACACGUGGAUAACCUACCUAUAAGACUGGGAUAACUUCGGGAAACCGGAGCUAAUACCGGAUAAUAUUUUGAACCGCAUGGUUCAAAAGUGAAAGACGGUCUUGCUGUCACUUAUAGAUGGAUCCGCGCUGCAUUAGCGAGUUGGUAAGGUAACGGCUUACCAAGGCAGCGAUGCAUAGCCGACCUGAGAGGGUGAUCGACCACACUGGAACUGAGACACGGUCCAGACUCCUACGGGAGGCAGCAGUAGGGAAUCUUCCGCAAAGGGCGAAAGCCUGACGGAGCAACGCCGCGUGAGUGAUGAAGGUCUUCGGAUCGUAAAACUCUGUUAUUAGGGAAGAACAUAUGUGUAAGUAACUGUGCACAUCUUGACGGUACCUAAUCAGAAAGCCACGGCUAACUACGUG
rnacentral:rRNA from 1 species